rnacentral:rRNA from 1 species
UACGUAGGGUGCAAGCGUUGUCCGGAAUUAUUGGGCGUAAAGGGCUCGUAGGCGGUCCAUCGCGUCGGGAGUGAAAAGCUGGGGCUCAACCCCAGUCCUGCUUCCGAUACGGGUGGACUAGAGGUAUGCAGGGGAGAACGGAAUUCCUGGUGUAGCGGUGAAAUGCGCAGAUAUCAUUUGGAACGCCAAUGGUGAAAACAGGUAGCUGGGGCUGUGCUGACACUGAGACACGAAAGCCAGGGGAGCAAACGGG